AGUGGACGCUGGCGGUAGGCCUAACACAUGCAAGUCGAACGGCGGCACAGUAAGAGCUUGCUCUUACGGGUGGCGAGUGGCGGACGGGUGAGGAAUACAUCGGAAUCUACUUUUUCGUGGGUGAUAACGUAGGGAAACUUACGCUAAUACCGCAUACGACCUACGGGUGAAAGCAGGGGAUCUUCGGACCUUGCGCGAUUGAAUGAGCCGAUGUCGGAUUAGCUAGUUGGCGGGGUAAAGGCCCACCAAGGCGACGAUCCGUAGCUGGUCUGAGAGGAUGAUCAGCCACACUGGAACUGAGACACGGUCCAGACUCCUACGGGAGGCAGCAGUGGGGAAUAUUGGACAAUGGGCGCAAGCCUGAUCCAGCCAUACCGCGUGGGUGAAGAAGGCCUUCGGGUUGUAAAGCCCUUUUGUUGGGAAAGAAAAGCAGCAGGUUAAUACCCCGCUGUUCUGACGGUACCCAAAGAAUAAGCACCGGCUAACUUCGUG
rnacentral:rRNA from 1 species